rnacentral:rRNA from 1 species
UACAGAGGGUGCGAGCGUUAAUCGGAAUUACUGGGCGUAAAGCGCGCGUAGGCGGCUUUGUAAGUCGGAUGUGAAAUCCCCGGGCUUAACCUGGGAACUGCAUUCGAGACUGCAUAGCUAGAGUAUGGGAGAGGGAAGUGGAAUUUCAGGUGUAGCGGUGAAAUGCGUAGAUAUCUGAAGGAACAUCAGUAGCGAAAGCGACUUCCUGGACCAAUACUGACGCUCAUGUGCGAAAGCGUGGGGAGCAAACAGG